rnacentral:rRNA from 1 species
UACGGAGGGUGCGAGCGUUGUUCGGAAUCACUGGGCGUAAAGGGCGUGUAGGCGGUCCGCUAAGUCUGAUGUGAAAGCCCGGGGCUCACCCCCGGAAGUGCAUUGGAAACUGGCGAACUCGAGUCCCGGAGAGGAGAGUGGAAUUCCUGGUGUAGCGGUGAAAUGCGUAGAUAUCAGGAGGAACACCGGUGGCGAAGGCGGCUCUCUGGACGGUGACUGACGCUGAGACGCGAAAGCGUGGGGAGCAAACGGG